rnacentral:rRNA from 1 species
CCUACGGGAGGCAGCAGUGGGGAAUUUUCCGCAAUGGGCGAAAGCCUGACGGAGCAACGCCGCGUGGGGGGAUGAAGGCCUCUGGGCUGUAAACCCCUUUUCUCAAGGAAGAAGACCUGACGGUACUUGAGGAAUAAGCCACGGCUAAUUCCGUGCCAGCAGCCGCGGUAAUACGGGAGUGGCAAGCGUUAUCCGGAAUUAUUGGGCGUAAAGCGUCCGCAGGCGGCCUAUUAAGUCUGUCGUUAAAGCGUGGAGCUCAACUCCAUUUAAGCGAUGGAAACUGGAAGGCUAGAGUGUGGUAGGGGCAGAGGGAAUUCCCGGUGUAGCGGUGAAAUGCGUAGAUAUCGGGAAGAACACCAGUGGCGAAGGCGCUCUGCUGGGCCAUAACUGACGCUCAUGGACGAAAGCCAGGGGAGCGAAAGGGAUUAGAUACCCCUGUAGUCCUGGCCGUAAACGAUGAACACUAGGUGUCGGGGGAAUCGACCCCCUCGGUGUCGUAGCUAACGCGUUAAGUGUUCCGCCUGGGGAGUACGCACGCAAGUGUGAAACUUAAAGGAAUUGACGG